GCGCCGGGUCCCGCGGUGAGCAGCGAAGGGCAGCGCACCGCGCUACCGUGGGGCAGCGCGUGGGUUAUCGCCCGAACACCAGGCAUCCGCCGCAGGACAACUGGGGGAGCCGUGUACCUCUCCGCCCUAGGGGCGGACCCGCGCACUCCUGCCUCCGCGCCCGGGUCCGCCUGCCGCCGCGCCCCCCAGGGGUGGAAACCCCUCUAGGGAUAUGAGAACACCUCCGCUCACCUGCACCUAAAGGGAACAUAACCCCAAUCUGUCACUUUCUGGCCACAUGAUCCUGGACACAGGACCCAAGGAAGGAAAAACAACGCGCACCUUUCAGGGUUGCUGUACCAGACAAAUGAUGGCAUUAGGUGAAUGGCUGGUGGAUUUCUUCAAAAAGGUGUUGCAAGCAUCGGUCCAGCUACCUCUCUGUUCCACCCUGGCCAGCACUGGAGAGCCACUCCCCUCUAGAGGUAACCUGGUAGGUGGUACUAGAGACCAGGAGGACAAAUCUGAGUAUGGUGGGAGUCCAUGUGCUGGCAGAUAAGCCAAAUGCCCCCUGCCCCAUGGAUGGGUAAGAGGGAGGGGAACCAGGAUCGGCUUACCCUUGUUCCAGUCAUGGCCGGGAACCUCAUCAUUGGGAUGAACCUGGUCCAGAGAGAGGCAGCCCAGCCUACCUAGGGCCCUCUGUCUGAUGAGUAAGCUUGGUGAGAGGCCUUAGACGCUUGGGAAAUGGGAGUCCAUUACAAGAUUAAAUUGAGCCAGCUCGGUGGUACAACAGUAACAUACUGUCAGGUAAAGCUGGAUCCACAUGGAAGAUCACGGUUCAGCUCCCUGAUUGAUCUGCGCACGCUGGACACAUGCACACACACGUGCGCCUGAUCCUGGCCAACUGGGAAGUCUAGGAGGGAUUGCAGCAUGAAACUCUGUUGGGUGUUCCCACGCAGCCCUCCGCCUCCGUCUCUCACUCUCAUGAAAUAAACUUUAAAAAGAAGAUUAAAUUGUGCUUUGUAUAAUAUCAGAACACAGAAACCUGACUGGUACUCAGAUCUGCUGAGUGGAGACUGCAAGCAUUUCCCAGACAUUUUAUCACCCAGUGUCUCCUCCCAGAUGUAUGAUUCGUCAAUAUGUUC